GCUAGCGUAGCUCAACCAGGCAGAGCAUCGCUUUUGUAAAGCGAGGGUUGCGGGUUCGAUUCCCGCCGCUAGCU
rnacentral:tRNA from 1 species